GUUGUACUCUUUCCGUCCCAAAAUUUUUGUCUUAAUUUUGUCUAAAAAUUAAUGUAUCAAAAUACUAAAAUGUGAGUAGAUACAUUCAUAUCUAGAAAAAUAUAAGGCAAAAUUUUUGGAACGAAAGGAGUAGUAU
rfam:Hordeum vulgare subsp. vulgare, WGS project CAJW01000000 data, contig: morex_contig_132849